rnacentral:snoRNA from 1 species
AGGCCGUGAUGGGGACACUUGCGUAAUAGCUCCUUGAACCUUUCCCAAGUUUCAUAUAAGGAUUCCCCGUCCUCUUGUGAAUAAAUAUUAAUUUCAGUCAUUAACUU